GAUGAACGCUAGCUACAGGCUUAACACAUGCAAGUCGAGGGGAAACGACAUCGAAAGCUUGCUUUUGAUGGGCGUCGACCGGCGCACGGGUGGGUAACGCGUAUCCAACCUGCCCACAACUUGGGGAUAACCUUGCGAAAGUAAGACUAAUACCCAAUGAUAUCUCUAGAAGACAUCUGAAAGAGAUUAAAGAUUUAUCGGUGAUGGAUGGGGAUGCGUCUGAUUAGCUUGUUGGCGGGGUAACGGCCCACCAAGGCAACGAUCAGUAGGGGUUCUGAGAGGAAGGUCCCCCACAUUGGAACUGAGAUACGGUCCAAACUCCUACGGGAGGCAGCAGUGAGGAAUAUUGGUCAAUGGACGAGAGUCUGAACCAGCCAAGUAGCGUGCAGGAAGACGGCCCUAUGGGUUGUAAACUGCUUUUAUAAGGGAAUAAAGUGAGUCUCGUGAGACUUUUUGCAUGUACCUUAUGAAUAAGGACCGGCUAAUUCCGUG
rnacentral:rRNA from 1 species